GUGCCAGCAGCCGCGGUAAGACGAACCGUGCGAACGUUAUUCGGAAUCACUGGGCUUAAAGGGCGCGUAGGCGGAUUUGCAAGUCUGUGGUGAAAUCCUCCAGCUUAACUGGAGAAGUGCCAUGGAUACUGCGAGUCUCGAGGAAGGUAGGGGCAUCUGGAACUGCCGGUGGAGCGGUGAAAUGCGUUGAUAUCGGCAGGAACUCCGGUGGCGAAGGCGAGAUGCUGGAUCUUUUCUGACGCUGAGGCGCGAAAGCCAGGGGAGCAAACGGGAUUAGAAACCCCCGUAGUCC
rnacentral:rRNA from 1 species